ACUUUCACGGAUACACUUUUCUCUUGAUGUCUUAUUCAAAGAAAAUGUUCCUCGGAUAAACAAUAUAAAAAAUUUCGAAUACAAGACAAAGGAUCUCAUGAUGUUGAGGUGGUGGUAGUAGCUGCUACAAUCACCACCACCCCCCUACACCCUUCUCUCCAUACACCCCAAACGAUUACCCAAAUACGAAACAAAUAAACUUUGCAGUGAGUGAGUGACUAUGGCGGCCAUAGCCUGUGCUAAUGCCAACGAUGAAAAAAUGAUGAAAGCAGAAACAACAUAAAACCGCACAUUUGAUUUCUCACAUCCCCAACAUGUCUGCAUAUACACCCGACCGACACCCGACUUAACGAUCGCUUUUGCUACAUCGUUGUCCCGAUGAGGAGCUGAGAAGUCUGUUGUAAAAUUCAAGAAAAUACAAUUGCCAGGCAUACAAAGAAAUAACAUAAGUGCAUAUAAAAAGGAGAACCAUGCACCACUACCACUACACCACACCACAUCACACAACAAAACACA
rnacentral:sRNA from 1 species